GGGGGCGACCUGGCUUCGACGGGGGCAAUGACGUUCGAGACGCGUGCCGAGCUUGUUGGGUGCUCGUAAAACUUCCGACAACAUCACAAAAGCCAACGACAACGUUGAGCUCGCGCUGGCUGCCUAAUUAGCAGUCUCUAGUGCGCGGUCCCCCUGCUCUCGGUCCGUGGGGUGGGGAUGGGCCGUCAUAAUGCGGACUGGUCGCCAAGGGUGCCUGGGCCCGAGGUGACGAGAUCUUUCCAGGACCGGCAUCAGGUAUCCCGUCCGUGGGAGCCCUGGUGACGUAGCAAAUCGCGGACUACGCACGUAGGGUCGAAGAGCCGACGGCUUUCGGACGAGGGUUCGAUUCCCUCCGCCUCCACAG
rfam:Corallococcus coralloides DSM 2259, complete genome.